GAGAGGGUGAUCCAAUGUGAAGGGGUGUUGUCUGCAGCAGAGAGGGUGAUCCAAUGUGAAGGGGUGUUGUCUGCAGCAGAGAGGUGAUCCAAUGUGAAGGGGUGUUGUCUGCAGCAGAGAGGUGAUCCAAUGUGAAGGGGUGUUGUCUGCAGCAGAGAGGUGAUCCAAUGUGAAGGGGUGUUGUCUGCAGCAGAGAGGGUGAUCCAAUGCGAAGGGGUGUUGUCUGCAGCAGAGAGGUGAUCCAAUGUGAAGGGGUGUUGUCUGCAGCAGAGAGGGUGAUCCAAUGUGAAGGGGUGUUGUCUGCAGCAGAGAGGGUGAUCCAAUGCGAAGGGGUGUUGUCUGCAGCAGAGAGGGUGAUCCAAUGUGAAGGGGUGUUGUCUGCAGCAGAGAGGGUGAUCCAAUGCGAAGGGGUGUUGUCUGCAGCAGAGAGGGUGAUCCAAUGUGAAGGGGUGUUGUCUGCAGCAGAGAGGGUGAUCCAAUGCGAAGGGGUGUUGUCUGCAGCAGAGAGGGUGAUCCAAUGUGAAGGGGUGUUGUCUGCAGCAGAGAGGGUGAUCCAAUGUGAAGGGGUGUUGUCUGCAGCAGAGAGGGUGAUCCAAUGCGAAGGGGUGUUGUCUGCAGCAGAGAG